CUUUCUGUAACACACAAACGCGAUCGUUACCACCGCAUCGCUUCCUUUCCGUUUCGUAAAAGAUGACCUAUCUUGGAAUUCUUUCCAGAAUCCCCACAUUUUGCUGAGUAGGAAACGUACAGUUGGAGAGAGAAAGAGAAUUUGUACGAAAACGCAAUCUUCUUAAAAUCGUAUUAUAAGAAAGAGAUCUGGGACAGGAAGAAUUAACUGUCGUUAAAUUUCAAGUUUAUCUCUAACAUCCGCGAGAAUUCACCGCGUAUUUAUAUCAAGACGCAGCCUGCUUGUUCUGCGGCCCGGUCGUUGGCGUACGGGGUUCCGCGCCUCCGGCAUUGCUGGCGCCGCUUCCUGGUGCCGCUGUUGCUCCUGCUCCACCGCUCGCGGGGCCGCCGCUACCACUUGCUGGAGAUUUGCUAGAGGGACUACCGGUCGUCCUGGAAAGAAAAGACGCGAAAUUUGUCACAUUACAUUGUCUGUACCCCGCAUUCACUCUCGGUGUAAGGUCUAUGUGUUUCCUCUGCUUUCGCGUCUUCCCUCACUUUUAAGCAGACAUAGCGGUCGACACAGGAUCGUCCGUGACAGCGUUGAAGGGAUACCAAAGCGAAACUUGACAACGUUUAUUCGUUUUGUUAGUCUCCAGAGACUAAUCAUUAUUGCCACUCGGGAAGCUUCUAAAUUUUAAACGUUACGUUAUUUAUAUUUACAGUGUCAUUAUUUUUUUACAUAAUUACUAGAGAGAAAGUCUCUCAUUUUGUCUCGCGUUUUUUAUUUUUUCUUCUUCUUGCAAAUUUUUAAAAAACGUCGAAGCAGAUCUUUCAGCUUUCGCAGCAUGGUUUUUCCCAUUAGACCGUAAUUUUAUAUACUUUGAGGAUAUUAAAUAUUCCAUCGAGUUAAAUAUCCAAUUGAUUAAUCCAAAAUCACGAAGCGCGAAAAUUACGCGAUUGUUCGAUCGCGACCCAUGCGCGCGAGCUGCGUGUAUUCAUACAAUUAAAUCUGCGUCAGCUACAAUUACUUUCGACGCUUGCCCGCCGCGUUCCGUUUUACGGGACGCUAAAUCAGCAUGAAAGUCUAAACGAGAUAAAUAUUGCCAUUGUUGUAGCGGCGAUAACGCUUUAGAAACGCCCCGAUUGAUUCGAAACUUGCUGACAGUGAGGAGGGAUGGGGUUCUCUGCUCGAGCCCCAUGCGAUACAUGCACAGGCUUAUCAACAGUGGCGUACAUCCCAGCGAUAUGUUUCUGUAAUACGUUAGGCAUAAUAGGCGACCUAGGAUCUAGAUAAAUCUUAUCGCUCUCCCACUACUGUAUCGCAUCUAUUGCGAGCACACUAUGCUGCUAAUCGAGACAGCAUUCUCUCGCAGGCACGCAAGCCGAUACGCUUCCAGCAUGUCAUCGGCUUAUUAAUAGUUGCUGUUUACUACCAGUCGCGACUGCGGAGCGUCCAUAACUGUGCAGAGACGGCUGAAGCCAACGGCAAGAGAAAAAUGAAUUUUACGGCAUGUAUAUAUAUAUACAUAUAUAUAUAUAUAUAUAUAUAAAAGAGAGGAAGAGGGCGAGGGUGAAGAUCGAUGCGAGUGGUAAGCACAGGCUGAGAAUGCUCGAUACAGAGAAACGCUAAUGGUCUCAACUGUUCUACGGAAAGGUAAAAAGGAAUAAUUGCAAGUCUUACAAAACGAAAAGGCAGGUGAACGUAAGUCGCGCAAGGCCAUGAAGGAAUAACUAUUCAUACGUACCUAUGCAAUUUAAUAUCGUGUAUCAAAGUCCAACGAAGCGAGUAAAAAAAAACUAUUCCGCUAAACGUAGCCAAAGAUAUAACGAACGCUUAGCGUUGUACCUUCGUUAUCUCACUUAACCCUCAGCUGACGCACAGGGUUUCAUGCACCCUCUAUUUACAAAAAUGCUUGGCAUUUAUAAACCGUAAGAGUUAGGGGGACAGAAGUUGGGGAAUAUUUAUAUUAAUUUCCCCACUACUGAGUCUAUAUGGUAGCAGUCUCCGAGAAUCGAAUGAAAAUUUUACACAGUCGUGUUUUUUCAAGUUAUGGGUGUACUACACCUAGUGUGUCAGAAACGUACGUAUCGAAGAAAAAAAAUUAGAUUUAUCUUUAACAAGCAAAAAUAAGUUGAUUAACAACAUUUUCUAUAAUUUUUUACUCUAUUUUUAUACUCUGACCAACGAGAGACUGGUUCGUUUCUGCGUUUUGAUAAAAAAUGUCACGAUUUCAUCACUGCAAGAAAAAGCAGUGUAGCUGGCGUAUGCGAUACCUUUACAGAAUGUUAGAUCAGGCUAGCAUUAAUUCGUUCAUAAUUUAUAAUUUAAUGAGAGAUAAUUCAAAAAAAUGUCGCAAAAACUACAUAGAGAUUUAACUGGAGCUUUCAUCAAGCCAUUUUUGACACAUCGUCUCACUUCUUCAACGUUACGAACGGUAUAGCGUGUACAAAUUGAAAGUUUCUUAGAUUAUACAGACAUUCCCAAAGUUCAAGAUUCUUGCGGUUUGUGUUGGCAAAAAAUAAAAUAGCAAACCAGAAAGAUGCUCAUUAUGUCCGUCUACCUUUGAUCGAAAAACAUCGUAUAAGUGAGUUUGAAAUGUGACAAACCGAUGUGUAAGCAACAUACUGCAAAAAUUUGUUGCAAAUGUUCCAUUCAAGUAAAUAAUAAUAAAAUAUAUUAUAUUGUA